UUAAAUUGAAGAGUUUGAUCAUGGCUCAGAUUGAACGCUGGCGGCAGGCCUAACACAUGCAAGUCGAACGGUAACAGGAAGCAGCUUGCUGCUUCGCUGACGAGUGGCGGACGGGUGAGUAAUGUCUGGGAAACUGCCUGAUGGAGGGGGAUAACUACUGGAAACGGUGGCUAAUACCGCAUAACGUCGCAAGACCAAAGAGGGGGACCUUCGGGCCUCUUGCCAUCAGAUGUGCCCAGAUGGGAUUAGCUAGUUGGUGAGGUAACGGCUCACCAAGGCGACGAUCCCUAGCUGGUCUGAGAGGAUGACCAGCCACACUGGAACUGAGACACGGUCCAGACUCCUACGGGAGGCAGCAGUGGGGAAUAUUGCACAAUGGGCGCAAGCCUGAUGCAGCCAUGCCGCGUGUAUGAAGAAGGCCUUCGGGUUGUAAAGUACUUUCAGCGGGGAGGAAGGUGUUGUGGUUAAUAACCGCAGCAAUUGACGUUACCCGCAGAAGAAGCACCGGCUAACUCCGUGCCAGCAGCCGCGGUAAUACGGAGGGUGCAAGCGUUAAUCGGAAUUACUGGGCGUAAAGCGCACGCAGGCGGUCUGUCAAGUCGGAUGUGAAAUCCCCGGGCUCAACCUGGGAACUGCAUUCGAAACUGGCAGGCUUGAGUCUUGUAGAGGGGGGUAGAAUUCCAGGUGUAGCGGUGAAAUGCGUAGAGAUCUGGAGGAAUACCGGUGGCGAAGGCGGCCCCCUGGACAAAGACUGACGCUCAGGUGCGAAAGCGUGGGGAGCAAACAGGAUUAGAUACCCUGGUAGUCCACGCCGUAAACGAUGUCUACUUGGAGGUUGUGCCCUUGAGGCGUGGCUUCCGGAGCUAACGCGUUAAGUAGACCGCCUGGGGAGUACGGCCGCAAGGUUAAAACUCAAAUGAAUUGACGGGGGCCCGCACAAGCGGUGGAGCAUGUGGUUUAAUUCGAUGCAACGCGAAGAACCUUACCUGGUCUUGACAUCCACAGAACUUUCCAGAGAUGGAUUGGUGCCUUCGGGAACUGUGAGACAGGUGCUGCAUGGCUGUCGUCAGCUCGUGUUGUGAAAUGUUGGGUUAAGUCCCGCAACGAGCGCAACCCUUAUCCUUUGUUGCCAGCGGUUAGGCCGGGAACUCAAAGGAGACUGCCAGUGAUAAACUGGAGGAAGGUGGGGAUGACGUCAAGUCAUCAUGGCCCUUACGACCAGGGCUACACACGUGCUACAAUGGCGCAUACAAAGAGAAGCGACCUCGCGAGAGCAAGCGGACCUCAUAAAGUGCGUCGUAGUCCGGAUUGGAGUCUGCAACUCGACUCCAUGAAGUCGGAAUCGCUAGUAAUCGUGGAUCAGAAUGCCACGGUGAAUACGUUCCCGGGCCUUGUACACACCGCCCGUCACACCAUGGGAGUGGGUUGCAAAAGAAGUAGGUAGCUUAACCUUCGGGAGGGCGCUUACCACUUUGUGAUUCAUGACUGGGGUGAAGUCGUAACAAGGUAACCGUAGGGGAACCUGCGGUUGGAUCACCUCCUUA
rnacentral:rRNA from 3 species